CGCGCGGCCCCGCCCCCCGCACCUUGGCCGAGCAGGCGGGCCGCGUGUCCGUCCACCGCGUCCAGGAGGCCGCUGAGCAGGGGAUUCUGGGACAUGCCCCACACAGGAGCAGAUGGAACUGGGGCCCAGCACCGCCAGUGCCCCAGAGGAUUCUGGGAAUGCGGCUCACUACCUCACCCCUGCCUGCAAGCUUGGCCCAGACUGAGGCCUGCCCCAGAGGAUGCUGGGAAGAGUGCUGGGGUCAGAGGUGGGAGGGGGCCUGGGACCAGUCUGUAACACCCCCAUGACUGCAACAACCCUGGCACCGUGACAUGAUGAAUAAAGGUUUAAUUUUCAA